GCAAAAAGUAUCUUUAAAAGCAAAGGAAAAAAAUCUAUUUUUAUUAUGAAUAUGAACUUCUCCUAUCUCCUUUUAUGAAAGUUAUGGAGCUCUGAAUUGCGUUGCCAAUUCGUAAUGGACCUUCUUGUGGGAGAGGAGCUUCGCAAGUAAUGAUCUGCUGUAAAUCUGCAAAAACAGCAAUUAGGCUGUUCCCUUUCACUGCAGCCCAAUCCCAAACUGAAGGAGAAGCAUCUGGCACAAUGGAAACUGUCACAACACAAGGCUGCAACUUCGACUGGUGAGAGAAGGCUCCCCUUGGAAGUGCAGAUCACAGAGAGGAGACUAUUUGAAAGGACCCUGCAGCUACAAGGCACAGGCACAGCCAUGCUCUUGUGGGCGAUGAGGAGCCUCAGUCUGCGGGAACCAAAGGCAAAGAGAAACACACUCCCCUGGCGCCAAACUCAUUAUGUGCAUGGCCAGAGCAACCUUUGCUUAUUAUAUUUUGAGAAGAAAUCCCUUAAACACACUCCCCCCUCAAGUCCAAGGCAGGUGGUGCUUGUGGGGGCUCCCCAGGUGAUGUCUCGUGAUGGGGAAGUGCUCAGCAAGGAGGGGUGCUGGACCAGGAGGUGGCUCCUUGUGGGCUGCUAUCGUGGCUCCUGGCUGAUCCCUCUGACAGCCUCGCUCCAGGUGCUCAGCAAAAACACAGUCCUCCUCUCCACAGCCUUUCCUAUUUACUUAUUGACUCUUCUUGCCAGUGGCUCUUUGCUUUAGGGAGGCUGAGAGGAAGGAGAAGGAGAGGAAGGCUGGGGAGGAAUGGGAACUCUUCAGCACAGGAGGUGGACCGUGUUUCUUUUAUCUUUACCAAAGGGGAAGGAAAAAGCCUCAGGAGGGUAUUCCCAGGGAGGAAGUAAUUCCCUUUUCUUCCACCCAGCAGGAGGUUGCAUCCUGCCUUCAGCUCUCUGCCCCCUGGCUUCCCAGGCCAGCGGGGUUAUGUGCUGCUGGUUCUGCCCACACCACCACAGAAUGCCUCCAUGCUGGGUGGUUUUAAAGGUCCUCACAGCUCCUUUGGGGCUUUGACAAGGCUCGUCACCCGCUGCAGACUCUAUGGGAUGGGCUGGGGAUGAGUACAUGCCUGCUUUGGGUGCUGGGACCCUGUCCAGUGUCAUCAUCCUCAUUUUCUGAGCAGGAAAAGAAAGCAUCAAUGUCCCUGUGCCCAAAGAUGGCAAAGACUAGCACAAAGCCCUUUUCCUUCAUUCCAGGGGUUGGUUUCAGCAUCAGAGGCCUGGGGGGUGGAGGGGAUAAACUGGGGGUAUCCUGAACCCUUCUCUUCUAGCACAGAGCCUCUGCCCACAGCAGUAGCAGCAUCAGACGGCUGUGAGUUCACUUCCCACAUGAAGGUAUUGCUCUGCUGCUCACACAAGCAUUAUUGCUAUAUUCUAAUUUCACAUGAAAAAAUUCCUGCCUGGACAUGCCUUUCUACCAGCACUGGAAGAACCAUUCAAAACAAAACAAAAAAUUAGAGAUGGCUCCCUUACCUGUUAGAUGCCUACAACCUUGCCUUGACUACUACUGUUGGGAACCCAGCAUUUUUUUAACACCCAAUUAAAUUAGUGUAAUUGGGAUAGAGUUGCAAUUUCUUUGCCUCCAGCUGUGAGUCAUAAUCUGUUUAGCACCUGAGUGCUAUUUCACUUUAUUUUUAGUACUUAGUCCAUAGUUUGGAAGGGGAGAAAGCAAACCUACAUGUCAGUCAGGAUUUUUUGAAGGUGUAGAUUACUUAUCGUUAAUUUAAAUGUGGCAUUUAAAUGACCAUUCACAGGUGGUUUUAAUGCUUUUAUUAACUUCUUUUUUGGCCCUUGUAAGGGAUACAUCUGAAAAAAGAAAUGUCAAAGACCUUGAACUACAGGCCAUGCCAAUAAUACAUUACUGCUACUAUACCAUGGGAAAAACUGUAAAACAGAAGAGCUCCCAGUGAGGGAAAAACCAGAACUUUAUUAUAAUAAAGAAUAAUAAAAAUGGCAGAAAAAUAUUAUCAAUACCUAGUCUUGUUUGAGCUACCAGUUCAGCCUACAGUACAUUUUGAAAUGAUGAAUCGGCUGGAGAGAAAAACAUAUUCCAGAUGUUUUCUGUGUUUGUCUCCAGUAUUUACUUCAUCAUGCCUUAUCCAGAGGGGUUAUUCAACAGAAAUAAAUUAUAUACUAAGUAUGAUCAGUGAGGAAAAUUAUUGAUUGUGCAAGUAUAAAAGACAAAGUAGCACUGGGGAAAUAGCUCAGGAUAAAACAUAAACCAGCCAGAAAUUUUGUCUGCAGUUCCGAUCCUUGGUUAUAACUGAGACCAACCAGCCUUAGAAAAAUCAUUCUGAAUCAUGGUUGAUAAAAACUGUAGACACAAAUAAUUGUGAUGGAUUGGGAAACCAAGACCCCAACAGUGGGAAUCCCCCCAGCCGGAGCAAGGCGGUGAAACGCCCGCGUGAACCUGCUGUGUCCUGUCAUAUGGGGAGGGACAAGGGCCUCACCUUUGCUGGGGUCAGCGUGCUUGGAGCCCAGUGCUGGGAAGCUGGGGAGGGCCAGGAGGCAACAAUGCUGUGCUGACUCCAAGGACAUUGGAGAGGGAUCCCUCCUGGCAUGGCUAAACUGCUGUUGCACAAGACAGCUGAGUGCCAGGUCCUUGAUUCAUCCCCAACCUAAGGAGGUUUCAGCUGAAAUGGUAGAAGAUUUACGGGCAUCGGAGAUGGACUAAGUCGCUAAGAUAGCCAUAACAUGUUGACUUACAGGACGUGUCUAGUAGUGUCCCCACAACUGAAUUGGGAAUGGCAGCAGGUCUGUGACCCUCCAGAUCAUCUGUCAUACAAAAAAACCCAAAACUUCAAGGCUCCUCAGGCAACUUAUCUACGGGUAUGUUUAUUUUGCAAAGCAAGACUGAAUGUCUUAAAAAAAGAGCCCCACCUCAUCCAUCUAUCUACACUCUCCAGGGUGAGGUUUUCUUUAAAAACAAAAUAGCCAAAAGCUAAUUGCAUGUAAGUUCAGACUUAAGAUAUUUUAGUGACACUCAGAAGGUGAGGAACAAAACCCCUGUCACUAAGCUGAUGUCUCUAAAAUGUCUGCCAAAACAGCUCUUUAAAAAGAUAUUUGCACCUUUAUUUAGUUCCUCCUUGUGAGGAAUGUUUACUGCAGUCCGUAGAUGUGGUUAUGUCGUGUUUCCACUGUGUUUUCAUUCAGUGUUGCUCUGUAUUUGUGGUUUUCUCAUUUGUGACAGUCUAGUAACUGGAGCCAUUUGUACCUGAGCAAAUAAUAUCAAAUCUGAAUACUUUAUAAAUAUUUACAAUAUGUGGUGUGUCUCCCACUCACAUCAAAUGCAAAGUAUAAAAAGCAAAAACAAGCAGAAACAAACAGAACCUGUGUUACGUUAUAAUAAAUAUUUACUGUAUGUACUAUUGACUAAAGAGUCCCAUACAGCUAUUUAGGAGGCAUUGUUUCUGUCAGGCUGUUCUAUAUUAAAACAUUCUAAAUGAAGCUGUUUGAGAAUAAAAAUGUGCAUGUUAGGGAGUGA